CCUACGGGGGGCAGCAGUGGGGAAUAUUGGGCAAUGGGCGCAAGCCUGACCCAGCAAAGCCGCGUGAAGGAAGAAGGCUUUCGGGUUGUAAACUUCUUUUGUCAGGGACGAAGCAAGUGACGGUACCUGACGAAUAAGCCACGGCUAACUACGUGCCAGCAGCCGCGGUAAUACGUAGGUGGCAAGCGUUAUCCGGAUUUACUGGGUUUAAAGGGCGUGUAGGCGGGACUGCAAGGACGAUGUGAAAACCACGGGCUCAACCUGUGGCCUGCAUUUGAAACUGUAGUUCUUGAGUACUGGAGAGGCAGACGGAAUUCCUAGUGUAGCGGUGAAAUGCGUAGAUAUUAGGAAGAACACCAGUUGCGAAGGCGGUCUGCUGGACAGCAACUGACGCUGAGGCGCGAAAGCGUGGGGAGCAAACAGGAUUAGAUACCCUGGUAGUC
rnacentral:rRNA from 1 species